rfam:Aedes albopictus isolate Foshan contig338660, whole genome shotgun sequence.
CCACCGGUCUUUUUCAAGACCACAAGAGUUGGAAUAAUUUUCCG